UACGUAGGGUGCGAGCGUUGUCCGGAUUCACUGGGUUUAAAGGGUGCGUAGGAGGGCAGGUAAGUCCGUGGUGAAAUCUCCAAGCUUAACUUGGAAACUGCCAUGGAUACUAUCUGUCUUGAAUAUUGUGGAGGUGAGCGGAAUAUGUCAUGUAGCGGUGAAAUGCUUAGAUAUGACAUAGAACACCAAUUGCGAAGGCAGCUCGCUACACAUAUAUUGACUCUGAGGCACGAAAGCGUGGGGAUCAAACAGG
rnacentral:rRNA from 1 species